rnacentral:lncRNA from 1 species
UAUUUAUCAAACUGACAGACCACUGUGCAUCUGAAAGCAGCUGAUUUCUUUCUGUUUUCCCCUAGACCCCCACUCCCCACCCCACCCCCCCACCCCCCAGCGAAUUCGAGAGACCCAUUACAAACAAACCCCACGCUUGCCACAGUCUCUGAAGACUUCUGUCUCUGGUGUGUCCCACAAAUUAAUCUAAAAUGUGAUUUACAAUAAUUUCCUCUCUUAAAUCAAGAUGAGGAACAGGGAACAGCCUGGAGGAGGAAACUACCAACAUUAGGAAGGUAAUAUUUUAGACCUCUGGUGGGAAAGAGACCCAUCCCGUUUUCCUUGAUUAAAACCACAGAGCUGUUUAACGUGGUUCCUGCAUUGGAAACGCUCCGUAAGAGCUACUGAAGAACUCCAGCUUUGUGACCAGUUACCUGUGCGAUCAAGCCUCCCAGAACUCAGGGCUCUUUCAAAAACAUGGGUUACUAUACCUUAUCAGAUUGAAGAAACAAUGAAACAAGGAUUUCUAAGUGUCUGGCACUCAGAAUAAAUUCAAUAAAUUUCUCUGUUCCCCACACUCUCCAGGUAGUUUUUCUAAUAAAAAUAGUAACAUUUACA